ensembl:ncRNA asRNA:CR43469 antisense RNA:CR43469
GUGCCGCCACAAAAUCAAAACAAAUUAAUUUCAAUUUCAAACUUUAUUUUAACCAACUCUAUUUGAACAACUAGUAACUGACUAAAGUGUGCGCAUUUCAUUUUUACAAAUGCUGCAAACGAUCUUGCAAGGGACUCUAUCUGAAACCGGAGUAUCUACACGAUGGAAAACCGGUGUUCCGGCCUCAGGAAGAAUCCUUUUCUUCGGACUCGCACGGAUAUUGUUCGGCUUUCGCUCGCUUUCCACACAGCAGCAGAGGAGGAAGCUCAGUGGCACUGCCUCGCCCUCCUCCAAAGUCUGUGGAAGAUUUCGGUUACGGGUCUCUGGCAGCAAAAGACUAGCAAAUCCUCCCAAGAUUAGCAGGGCUCCCAUUACAAUUAGCGGAAGUACGAGCAUUUGCUGACCCUGCAACGAGAAAUGGGUGAAUAUUAUGGUCCCACCAUGGAUAUUACCGAGCUAAAGCUCAUGCCCAGUCCUCGCACCACCGUGGGAUACAGUUCAGAUGCCAUGAGCGGCAAGACUACAAAGGACGAGCUUAUGCCCAUCUUGCCCACGCAGUAGAGCAGCAGUGUGAUGUCUGGGUACAGAAAUGUGGCCACGCAGGCGACUCCGCCCACCAGCAUCGAUAUGAACAGGAUCCAGCGCCUUCCGAAAUAACUCAAUCCCGGCCAGAGUAGCAAAUAUGUUGGCAGUUCCACCGCCCCAGCCAGGAAGAAGUUCCAGAUCUCAUCGCCUCCUAGCGCAGGAGCAUAAUAACUCAGUCCCACGUAGACACUGGUGUUGGCAAACCAAAUAAGGGUUAUGAUCAGGGUCUUCCGACGCAUAUUGGGUCCCCGAAACAAGUCCAAUAUCCCAUAGUGGGUGGUCAUUGAAGAUUUGGUUUCCGCAGCCCUUGUGAUGACAAGUUUUCGCUGCAACCGUUCCACAAAAUCCCGAUUUACGCGCACACCAUUCACUCUGGCCAUUACUUUGAGAAUUUUAAUGGCCCUCCUGGUUUUUCCCACGGCCAUUAACCAUCGUGGUGAUUCCGGAAGCACGAAGAAGCAGGAGAAAAGCAUCAGCAAAGGCAUGGACACUGCCAAACUGAGUUCCCGCCAAUCACGUACGAUAUAGAUAACUCCGGCUAAUACCACCAAGCCCAAGGAGUAGGCGAUAUUCGAGACGAUGGUGCAAAAAACUCUCCUCUCCGGUCCCACCAGCUCAAUGGCCAGUACAUAGGGACUCGCCAGAAUAGCUGGCACCGUCAGUCCCACCACAAAGCGCAGGCCCAACCAAGUGUAAUAGUUCCAGGCAAAGGCACUGGCCGCACAGGCAAUGAUCUCGAGCAGCAGAUAAGCGUAAAAGGAUGGCCGCCUGCCCCACAGAUCCACUAGAUAUCCAAAUACAUAGUUACCUAGCAAUCCGCCAACACCGAAGACCACAAGCGCCAAAGUCACAAGGAAGCUGCGGUCGCACACCAGGUUCCACUGCAAGAUAUAUGAGGAAAUAAUUCUAACAUACCAUAUCCAAUUGGAAAAUCCCCACCUCUUGAACCACCGUACUUGAGUAUAUGGACUUGUCGUAGUGCCAGCCAUGUUGGCACGGCACCACCUGCGUCGUAUCCGGCUGCAACUUGAGCAAAUCCUCUGCCUGUUGUCGCAACAAAUCCGGAGGAGGUCGAUACUCAAGAUAGCGCACUAUAUCGGUGUAAUUUCUCGAGUACAUGGAACACUCGGCAUAGGCUCCAUUGCGAUUACGCGGAAUGCUCAGGUUCUUAACAAGCUGCACAUAGUCCUGCGUCCAGGGCUCCAGCUCAGGAACGCGACAAAAGUGCUGAGGUGUGGCCGCUAUGAACAACUGGCUAGAAAAUAAUCAUUUUAGAUAAUUAUGAAAAUUUUCUGAUGAGGUACCUUUAAGAGGCGAAAAGAAUACCAAAGAAGGAUGACCAACCUAUAUGCGUGGAAGGCACAGGGCAGCGCGGCGGGCAAUAGAACGGAACAGAUGAUGACCUUCUGGUAGAGACCAAAGGAGCCCACCUCCCGCAGCACCUCGUCGAAAUCCAUGUCCGCCCGUUAGCCAGACGCUCGCGCAACUGACGAUCGCGCCGAUCACCUUGUCCACAUUCAAUCCAGUCCAGGAACUGGUGGCGCUGCAGGGGCUGAUUGAACAUAAUUACAUUACGGCCUCUCGUGCGCAUUAAUUAAUUGGACACCGCGGUGU